AAAAGGAAUUUUUUUUUGGUGUUCCAGCUCUCACGUGUCCUUUCAUUCAAGAGGUGAUAUUUGAACAUAAAAUUAUUUUUUAUUUUUUCUAUCUUCUCCUCACUGAUUAUAUGAUUUUGAUUGGUCACUAAACGUGUUCCAGACCACUGAAAUUCAACAAAAUAAGGGGUAGCUCAGAGCUUCUGCACAUGGCGUUGCUGAGCCUAAAGGCACCUAUAUCUUCUGUAUAUGUGAAUUCUUCGUCUUCUUCUUCUUCUUCUUCGUGUUCUUUUCCCAAAUCUUGUUCCUUCAGUAUCAGACGAUGCUCAUUUUGCCCUCUCCUUCCGCCACGCACUCUUGGGUUUCGGAGGAACCUCGUUCGCAUGGCUCCCGAGGAGAAGAAGAUGACUCGUCGUUCACCUCUCGAUUUCCCAAUCGAAUGGGAAAGGCCUAACCCAGCACGACAACCUGAUAUAUUCCCCAAAUUUAGUCCAAUGAAGACCCCUUUGCCAUCUCCAUUGCCUGCAGAUCCUCCUGAAGAGGAUGAAGAAGAGGAAGAAAAGAAAGAGGAAGAAGGAGAGGAAUAUCCUGAAAAGGAGGAGACAGAUAGGUCACAACAGCAAUGGUGGAGGAGAUGAGUUGUCUUGGUUCCUCCUUCAGUUAUCUUGAUGUUUUCUUCCAGUCUGCUGCUUGCCAAUCUUAAUGCAUGAUGGGGCUUUAUGGUCAAGUUGAUAAGGCGCCGUGGUAAAUUCUGUAAUAAAGCUGACUAUGGGGCGGUCUGGAUUUCAGGUGCGGCUGCACUGGAACCUGUG